AUUCAUUUCCUACAUUUACAGCUGGUUGUCGAGAUCGGCCCUGGGAGGGAAUGAUCCGGGCUCAAGUCUGUUUCCCAUUUACCGGCUACAUGCCUUAGACCAAACUUCCUAACCUAGCGGGUUCCUUUGGCUGCACAAAAAUCUGCGUCGUCAAACUUAGGAGCUACGUGGAGGCCACCGUUAGGAGCCCACGGCGGCGAUCGUUACGGCCUCGGAGGGCCAGGCCCGGCUUUCUCCGGAUGGCUGCCCUCAGUCUCCCACACAGCUGAAGCUGAAUGCAAAACGCGACCGCAAACAAGGAGAAAGCAAAGCAUUUCAAAGAGACUGAAACCGCUAAGCUAGAGAGACGAGGGAAUUAAACCGGCUCCGGUCAGUUCCCACCAAGGGGUGGCAGUUUCCGCGAGGGCAAGCCAAUCCAACCAGCCAAGGGACUGCCCAGCGGCGCAGGAACAAAACCCAGGCUCAGACCCUCCCCCUAACGGUCCCCGCCUCGCUGGCCUCCAGCGGCCACGGGCGUCUCGUUUCCGGCCCUCGCAGGACCACAGUUCCCAGCAUGCCGCUGGCGGGAAGUCUUUGCCGCUGGAUGACUACGAAUCCCAGCAUGCCACUCAGCACGCCAGUAAGCCAGAUGGAAGAGUGGGAUGACCCCGAUGCAUGCAGGGAGUUGUAGUCCACUUAGCUGCAGGCUUUUGGAGGGGCGGGGAAGAGCCGGAUCGCUCUCAUCCGCUGAGGAGAAUGAUUCAUAGACGAGGGUCAGGAGAGAAAAACAGUUCUCUCUGUAAAAAUCCACUGGAAAGACUGGACUCUUCUCCGAGGGAGAGAGAGGCAGGCGAGUUAGCGAGACCCCGAGCCUGACCCCGCCUCAGGCCGCUCUCCAGGCCGCCACCGAGCUCAGGGCCUGGUGGGGGGCGGCCGCGAGGCGCCGUUUGCUGGGGGAGCGGUGACGUCGCGGGGUGAAAGUUGAGGGGCGGUGACGUCGGGCCUGCCCGGGCGGAGGCUGGCGGAUUGGAGGCAGGAGGGAGGGAGGGAAAGAGGGAAGGAAGGAAGCUGGGAAGGAGCGAGCGAGCGAGCGGGGGCGCGAGGCGUUUACCUGGAGGCAGCGGCUUGGGCGCGCAGAGCGGCCGCGGCUCCCCCGCACCUGCGGCCAUGGAUGAGGAGCGCGCCCUCUACAUCGUCCGGGCCGGUGAAGCGGGGGCUAUCGAGCGGGUCCUGAGGGAUUACAGCGACAAGCAUAGGGCUACUUUCAAAUUUGAAUCAACAGAUGAAGAUAAAAGAAAGAAACUCUGUGAAGGCAUAUUUAAGGUCCUUGUGAAAGAUGUCCCAACAACAUGUCAAGUGUCUUGCCUGGAAGUACUUCGCAUUCUCUCCAGAGACAAAAAGAUUUUAGUUCCUGUAACAACUAAGGAAAAUAUGCAGAUACUGCUGCGACUAGCCAAGCUAACCGAAUCGGAUGAUUCUUUGGAGAAGGUGUCAGAGUUCCCCGUUAUUGUGGAGUCGUUAAAAUGUCUGUGUAACAUAGUGUUCAACAGUCAGAUGGCACAGCAGCUCAGCCUGGAACUUAAUCUUGCUGCAAAGCUCUGUAACCUUUUGAGAAAGUGCAAGGACCGAAAAUUUAUCAAUGACAUUAAGUGCUUUGACCUGCGCCUGCUCUUCCUCCUGUCACUUCUGCACACUGACAUCAGGUCACAGUUGCGUUACGAGCUCCAGGGACUACCGCUGCUAACCCAGAUCUUGGAAAGUGCCUUUAGCAUCAAGUGGACCGAUGAGUAUGAAUCGGCCAUAGACCAUAAUGGACCUCCUCUCUCACCUCAGGAGACAGACUGUGCCAUUGAGGCCCUCAAAGCUCUCUUCAAUGUGACAGUAGACAGUUGGAAGGUGCAUAAAGAGAGUGAUUCUCAUCAGUUCCGUGUCAUGGCAGCUGUCCUUCGCCAUUGUUUACUAAUUGUAGGUCCAACCGAAGACAAAACAGAAGAGCUGCACAGCAAUGCAGUCAACCUUUUAAGCAAUGUUCCGGUCUCUUGUUUGGAUGUCCUCAUUUGUCCAUUAACCCAAGAGGAAACAGCACAAGAGGCACCGACUCUAGAUGAACUGCCCAGUGAAAAAACAGCUGAAAAAGAAGCAGUUUUGAAAAACAAUACCAUGGUUUACAAUGGUAUGAAUAUGGAGGCCAUUCAUGUUUUACUCAAUUUUAUGGAGAAGAGAAUAGACAAGGGCAGCAGCUAUAGAGAGGGUCUAACUCCAGUUCUCAGCUUACUGACAGAGUGUUCCCGAGCCCAUCGACACAUCCGAAAAUUUCUCAAAGAUCAGGUUUUACCACCACUGAGGGAUGUGACAAAUCGACCUGAAGUUGGCUCAACUGUGAGAAAUAAGCUGGUGCGCCUCAUGACACAUGUUGACCUUGGAGUCAAGCAAAUUGCUGCUGAAUUUCUUUUUGUCCUUUGCAAAGAGAGAGUGGACAGUCUGCUGAAAUACACUGGCUAUGGGAAUGCUGCAGGACUGUUGGCUGCCAGGGGCCUCUUGGCUGGAGGAAGAGGUGAUAAUUGGUACUCAGAGGAUGAGGACACAGACACUGAAGAAUACAAAAAUGCAAAACCAAACAUUAAUCUUAUCACUGGUCAUUUAGAGGAACCAAUGCCAAACCCCAUAGAUGAAAUGACAGAAGAACAAAAAGAAUAUGAAGCCAUGAAACUUGUCAACAUGCUUGAUAAACUUUCCAGGGGAAUCCACAUAUCCUAGAAGCUGCCAACAAAUCAGUACACAAACGUCAAGUGUGAGACGCCCAAGCUUCCACCUGACUUAGACUGUGCUUCCACGGAGAUGCACACUCACCCGGAAACACCCAGCAGAUGUCCAACUCAAUCUGAAGGAGAGCAGAUGUGAAGGACCUGCACCAGGAUGGUGGUUAGCAACAGUGGCCCGUGCCAAAGCACUUACCAAAGUGAUGACUAAGACCCUGUCAUUAAUUCCAUGUGUCAAUACUGCCCUGUAGUACACAGAGCAGACAAGAAAGAAGAGCCCUUGAAAACAAGGGAAUGAUUUUUGAGUCGUUAUCAAGCUAAGUGGCAAGCGGGAAGCUGAAUCUCGUAUAGUUGAACAUUCUUGGAGGCUUAUCUCUUCCCUGGCCAGAUGCCUGAUCAGAUGAGAAGCCCGCCAUGAUACUGUCACAGUGCCUAGAAUGGGCUCUUUAUCCAGUAGACAUCACUGUACUUUUUGAUGAUAACAAGGGCAGUCUUAACUUGUGUUAAGGCCCGUAUAUAGCAUUGAAGAGAGGAGUUGCUUAAACCAAUGGGACUAAAGCCUGAUGGGACGAUAACGCCUCUGGAGGAAGCACUCAGCCAGUACUCCGUCAUCGAAGAGACCAGCUCGGACACGGACUGAAAGCGUCACCUGCUCAACUCUCAAUAUUGCUUUUAUCAGCAUCUUUUCUCUGUAGCUCCAGGGGAAUCUUUUCUCUAAAACAUGUAUGCCCUUGCUUUGGCUAGAAACACAUUACCUGGUUACUCAUUGAGAAUCAGCAUAUUUAAGAGGUGAUCCUGUGUUUUUUGCGAUAUCGAGGCAUUUGUACAGAGCUGCAGUUAGAGUUCCAGGGGCUAGAAAUAAACAAAGAUGUAAUCCCAUUUCAUCAGGAUGGGACCGAAGGACUUUAUUUUGCCAAGCAUUCCUGGGUGAGACUUGGCCAUUCUCUUUGCCAAGAAUCUUAGCAGAAGAUUAGCGGUGUCCACUUCUCCCUUGGGUGAGCCGCCCCCUCUCGAUCCCUCCAGCAGCUGAGCGCGAGAAGCAGGAGUGGGAAACCAGGGCCAAAGGACUCCUUAGGUCAGGACCGGUGAGGUGGAAGCCAAGCUGCUCUGUAAACUUAGCCCCGCUCUUCAUUUCGAUUUUGUAUAAAUAUGUAGAAGUAUACACACAGACACACAGACACAGAACCCCAGACCUGCAAACUGUCACUGAGCUAAGACUUCAGAAUACAUUCUCCUAAGAGUUAUAAAUGGUGGCUUAGUUCUCAGGCAGCUACAAAUGCCUAUUUAUUCCCUAACGUACCUGAACACUAGUACCAUGGAACUGAACCACCAUUGGUAGCACUGCCCAGGGAGCAAGCGUUCUGGGGUCCAGGGCAGCACACCAGAGACACAUCCUCCACUCCUGGAGUGGAGGGAGCUCUGGCGUGGCCUCUGCUCCAGGUGGGAGGCGGUGGCACCCAUUUGUACAUAUAGGUCAUUCAUGGGUCAUAUGUUUUAUACGGGGGACUGUGUGCGCACGAGUGUGUAUACAUUCUACCUUUUUACCAUAUGAUCAGUUUAAUGGUAACUUUAUUUAUUUAAAAAGAGAAACAAAUAGUUACAGUUAAACUGAUCGACUCUUUAUUUUUACUUUUAGAAUUGGUCCUAUGAAGAAGUAGAAACUGCAUCAUGCAACAGUGGGCCUAGUUGAUCAGUGGCUAAAGUUGAAAAGGGGUUGGUUUCCUUUAAAUGUAUAUAUGUGUGUGUAUGUGUGUGUGAGCACACACAUAUGUACAUACACACACAUAAUGUGCUUAACCACUGCCUUUUACAACUUUAAAUAAAACAUUGGGGUUGAUUCAAUGUA